UACGGGGGGGCAAGCGUUGUUCGGAAUUACUGGGCGUAAGGGGCGCGUAGGCGGCCUGCUAAGUCACACGUGAAAUCCCUCGGCUCAACCGGGGAACUGCGUGUGAUACUGGCGGGCUUGAAUUCGGGAGAGGGAUGUGGAAUUCCAGGUGUAGCGGUGAAAUGCGUAGAUAUCAGGAGGAAUACCGGUGGCGAAGGCGGCAUCCUGGACCGAGAUUGACACUGAUGAGCGAAAGCCAGGGGAGCAAACGGG
rnacentral:rRNA from 1 species